rnacentral:rRNA from 1 species
GAUGAACGCUAGCGGCGGGCUUAAUACAUGCAAGUCAAGGGGUAGCAAUACACCGGCGUACGGGUGCGUAACGCGUAUGGAACCUGCCCUUAUCUGGGGGAUAACUCGGGGAAACUCGAGCUAAUACCGCAUAAGAUAGUAGAGAGGCAUCUUUCAGCUAUUAAAGAUUUAUCGGAUAAGGAUGGCCAUGCGUAAGAUUAGAUAGUUGGCGAGGUAACGGCUCACCAAGUCUACGAUCUUUAGGGGCUCUGAGAGGAGAAUCCCCCACACUGGCACUGAGAUACGGGCCAGACUCCUACGGGAGGCAGCAGUAGGGAAUAUUGGGCAAUGGGCGGAAGCCUGACCCAGCCACGCCGCGUGCAGGAAGACGGCCCUCUGGGUUGUAAACUGCUUUUAACUGGGAAGAAAGCAGCUCAUGCGUGAGAAUUUGACGGUACCAGUUGAAUAAGCCACGGCUAACUACGUGCCAGCAGCCGCGGUAAU